UUGUAGCUCAGUUGGAUAGAGCAACUGCCUUCUAAGCCGUAGGUCGGGAGUUCGAAUCUCUCCA
rnacentral:tRNA from 1 species